rnacentral:rRNA from 1 species
UACGUAGGGUGCAAGCGUUAAUCGGAAUUACUGGGGCGUAAAAGGGCGCGUAGGCGGCCUGCUAAGUCGAACGUGAAAUCCCUGGGCUCAACCCAGGAACUGCGUCCGAUACUGGUUGGCUUGAAUCCGGGAGAGGGAUGUGGAAUUCCAGGUGUAGCGGUGAAAUGCGUAGAUAUCUGGAGGAACACCGGUGGCGAAGGCGACAUCCUGGACCGGCAUUGACGCUGAGGCGCGAAAAGCCAGGGGGAGCAAACGGG